rnacentral:lncRNA from 1 species
AAAAGAUACAACAUAAAAAAAAAUUUCUUUUUCUUUUUCCUUAACAUUAUUCUUAUUCUAUAAAUAAUGCCUCCCGAGGUUCAAAGUUCAUUAUCCAAGCAUGCAAUUAAGACAAAGUUGCAGUCAAAAAUUUACAAAUACACACCAGAAUUUCAAUACUCUAUUCGAAUGAUAUCAUCAGGCUUUGUUUCAAUAUUAGUCAUUUACAUAAUCAUUGUUCGGAUUUUCAUACUGUACAAGGUGCUUAUUGGACAUGACGGUGUUCCAGGUCUAAUUAUUGCUAUUAGCAAUUAUAUCAUUAUAAAAGGUUGGCUCAGAAGUGAGCAAAUGAACCAAUACAUUACUUGUU